UACGAAGGGGGCUAGCGUUGCUCGGAAUCACUGGGCGUAAAGGGUGCGUAGGCGGGUCUUUAAGUCAGGGGUGAAAUCCUGGAGCUCAACUCCAGAACUGCCUUUGAUACUGAGGAUCUUGAGUUCGGGAGAGGUGAGUGGAACUGCGAGUGUAGAGGUGAAAUUCGUAGAUAUUCGCAAGAACACCAGUGGCGUAGGCGGCUCACUGGCCCGUUACUGACGCUGAGGCGCGAAAGCGUGGGGAGCAAACAGG
rnacentral:rRNA from 1 species